UACGGAGGGGGCUAGCGUUGUUCGGAAUUACUGGGCGUAAAGCGCACGUAGGCGGCUUUGUAAGUUAGAGGUGAAAGCCCAGGGCUCAACCCUGGAAUUGCCUUUAAGACUGCAUCGCUUGAACAUCGGAGAGGUAAGUGGAAUUCCGAGUGUAGAGGUGAAAUUCGUAGAUAUUCGGAAGAACACCAGUGGCGAAGGCGACUCACUGGACACGUAUUGACGCUGAGGUGCGAAAGCGUGGGGAGCAAACAGG
rnacentral:rRNA from 1 species